rfam:Oryza glumipatula chromosome 2, whole genome shotgun sequence.
AAAAAAGCAAACUGUGGAUUUCCGUGUCAACGUUUGACUGUUCGUCUUAUAUAAAAUUUUUUUAUAAUUAGUAUUUUUAUUGUUGUUAGAUGAUAAAACAUGAUUAAUACUUUAUACAUGACUUAUCUUUUUAAUUUUUUUUUUAUUUUUUCAAAUAAGACGGACGGUCAAACGUUGGACACGGAAAUCAGAGUUUGUCUUUUU